AGCGAACGCUGGCGGCAGGCCUAACACAUGCAAGUCGAACGAACCUUUCGGGGUAGGGGCGGACGGGUGAGGCACACGUGGGGACGGGCCUUUAGGUUCCGGAUAACCCAGGGGAACUUGUGCUAAUACCGAAUGUGCCCUUCGGGGGAAAGAUUUAUCGCCUUUAGAGCGGCCCGCGUCUGAUUAGCUAGUUGGUUGAGGUAAUGGCUCACCAAGGCGACGAUCAGUAGCUGGUCUGAGAGGAUGAUCAGCCACAUUGGGACUGAGACACGGCCCAAACUCCUACGGGAGGCAGCAGUGGGGAAUCUUGCGCAAUGGGCGAAAGCCUGACGCAGCCAUGCCGCGUGAAUGAUGAAGGUCUUAGGAUUGUAAAAUUCUUUCACCGGGGACGAUAAUGACGGUACCCGGAGAAGAAGCCCCGGCUAACUUCGUG
rnacentral:rRNA from 1 species